CAUAAAAAUUUAUAUUAGAAUUUUAUUUUUUAGUCAAAAAGCUAAAAUAAUUUUAAAAGACGAGAAGACCCUAUAAAUCUUUAUAUUUAUUAAUUUAUAAUUUUAUAGAUUUUUUUUAUUAUAAAUUUAUAUAAUAUUUUAUUGGGGUGAUAUUGAAAUUUAAUAAACUUUUAAUUUUAAAAUUCAUUGAUUAAUGAAAAAUUGAUCCGUUAUUAACGAUUAAAAAUUUAAGUUACCUUAGGGAUAACAG
rnacentral:rRNA from 1 species